rnacentral:rRNA from 1 species
UACGUAGGGUGCAAGCGUUAAUCGGAAUUACUGGGCGUAAAGCGUGCGCAGGCGGUUAUGUAAGACAGAUGUGAAAUGCCCGGGCUCAACCUGGGAACUGCAUUUGUGACUGCAUGGCUAGAGUUUGGCAGAGGGGGGUAGAAUUCCACGUGUAGCAGUGAAAUGCGUAGAUAUGUGGAGGAACACCGAUGGCGAAGGCAGCCCCCUGGGUCAAGACUGACGCUCAUGCACGAAAGCGUGGGGAGCAAACAGG